UCGGGAAUUUUGUGCAAUGGGCGAAAGCCUGACACAGCAACGCCGCGUGAAGGAUGAAGUCCCUCGGGAUGUAAACUUCGUAAGAAUAGGAAGAAUAAAUGACGGUACUAUUUGUAAGGUCCGGCUAACUACGUGCCAGCAGCCGCGGUAAUACGUAGGGACCAAGCGUUGUUCGGAUUUACUGGGCGUAAAGGGUGCGUAGGCGGCAUAUCAAGUCACUUGUGAAAUCUCCGGGCUUAACUCAGAACUGCCAAGUGAUACUGAUGUGCUAGAGUGCAGAAAGGGCAACUGGAAUUCUUGGUGUAGCGGUGAAAUGCGUAGAUAUCAAGAGGAACACCUGAGGCGAAGGCGAGUUGCUAGGCUGACACUGACGCUGAGGUACGAAAGCUAGGGGAGCGAACGGGAUUAGAUACCCCAGUAGUCCCUGAGCGGGCUGGCAAGGCGCAU
rnacentral:rRNA from 1 species